UGGGGAAUAUUGCACAAUGGGCGCAAGCCUGAUGCAGCCAUGCCGCGUGUGUGAAGAAGGCCUUCGGGUUAUAAAGCACUUUCAGCGAGGAGGAAGGUGGUGAGCUUAAUACGCUCAUCAAUUGACGUUACUCGCAGAAGAAGCACCGGCUAACUCCGUGCCAGCAGCCGCGGUAAUACGGAGGGUGCAAGCGUUAAUCGGAAUUACUGGGCGUAAAGCGCACGCAGGCGGUUUGUUAAGUCAGAUGUGAAAUCCCCGGGCUCAACCUGGGAACUGCAUUUGAAACUGGCAAGCUAGAGUCUCGUAGAGGGGGGUAGAAUUCCAGGUGUAGCGGUGAAAUGCGUAGAGAUCUGGAGGAAUACCGGUGGCGAAGGCGGCCCCCUGGACGAAGACUGACGCUCAGGUGCGAAAGCGUGGGGCAGCAAACAGGAUUAGAUACCCUGGUAGUCCACGCUGUAAACGAUGUCGAUUUUGGAGGUUGUGCCCUUGAGGCGUGGCUUCCGGAGCUAACGCGUUAAAUCGACCGCCUGGGGAGUACGGCCGCAAGGUUAAAACUCAAAUGAAUUGAC
rnacentral:rRNA from 1 species